rnacentral:rRNA from 1 species
UAGCAAUACCCCAGUCGAGCGGCGAACGGGUGAGNACGCGUGGAUAACCUGCCCAGGGGUGGGGGAUAACCCGGGGAAACUCGGGCUAAUACCGCAUAACAACCGAAAGGUCAAAGGGGGGCCGCAAGGUCUCUCGCCAUUGGAGGGGUCCGCGUCCGAUUAGCUAGUUGGUAGGGUAAUGGCCUACCAAGGCGACGAUCGGUAGCCGGCCUGAGAGGGUGAUCGGCCACACUGGAACUGAGACACGGUCCAGACUCCUACGGGAGGCAGCAGUGGGGAAUUUUGCGCAAUGGGCUAACGCCUGACGCAGCAACGCCGCGUGGAGGAUGAAGGUCCUUGGAUUGUAAACUCCUGUCAGCGGGGAAAAAGCGACCGGUGCUCAUACCACCGGGAGUUGAUUGUACCCGCAGAGGAAGCCCCGGCUAACUCUGUGCCAGCAGCCGCGGUAAUACAGAGGGGGCAAGCGUUAUUCGGAAUUAUUGGGCGUAAAGGGCGCGUAGGCGGCUUCGCAAGUGGAAGGUGAAAUCCCUCGGCUUAACCGAGGAACUGCCCUCCAAACUGCGUUGCUUGAGGCCGGGAGAGGUGAGUGGAAUUCCCAGUGUAGCGGUGAAAUGCGUAGAUAUUGGGAGGAACACCAGUGGCGAAGGCGGCUCACUGGACCGGUUCUGACGCUGAGGCGCGAAAGCGUGGGGAGCAAACGGGAUUAGAUACCCCGGUAGUCCACGCCGUAAACGAUGAGUGCUUGGUGUAGCGGGUAUCGACCCCUGCUGUGCCGAAGUCAACACAUUAAGCACUCCGCCUGGGGAGUACGGUCGCAAGGCUG